AGUGAACGCUGGCGGCAUGCCUAACACAUGCAAGUCGAACGGCAGCACAGCAGUAGCAAUACUGUGGGUGGCGAGUGGCGGACGGGUGAGGAAUACAUCGGAAUUUGCCCUGUCGUGGGGGAUAACGUAGGGAAACUUACGCUAAUACCGCAUUCGACCUAACGGUGAAAGCGGGGGAUCGCAAGACCUCGCGCGGCUGGAGAAGCCGAUGUCAGAUUAGCUAGUUGGCGGGGUAAAGGCCCACCAAGGCGACGAUCUGUAGCUGGUUUGAGAGGAUGAUCAGCCACACUGGGACUGAGACACGGCCCAGACUCCUACGGGAGGCAGCAGUGGGGAAUAUUGGACAAUGGGCGCAAGCCUGAUCCAGCAAUGCCGCGUGUGUGAAGAAGGCCUUCGGGUUGUAAAGCACUUUUAUUUGGAGCGAAAUUUGCAGGGGUAAUACCCAUGCAGUUUGACGGUUCCAAAGGAAUAAGCACCGGCUAACUUCGUG
rnacentral:rRNA from 1 species